UAGAGUCCAGCCUGCCCAGUGACACUGUUCAACGGCCGCGUGACCCUAAGCGCGCGAAGGUAGCAUAAUCACUUGUUCUUUAAAUAGGGACCUGUAUCAACGGCAUCACGAGAGCUAUUCUGUCUCCUUUUUCCAAUCAGUGAAACUGAUCUCCCCGUGAAAAAGCGAGGAUAUACUUAUAAGACGAGAAGACCCCAUGGAGCUUCAAACCCAACAACACCCUCCCGCACUUAUAUACCCCACAAGACUCAAGGGCCUGAUUGUUGGUUUUAGGUUGGGGUGACCGCGGAGUACAAAUUAACCUCCACAAUGCAUAGGACUAAACCUUUAUCCAAGAACAACCACUCUAAGAAUUAAAAUUUUAACAUUUCAUGACCCGAUUAUCGAUCAAUGAACCAAGUUACCCUGGGGAUAACAGCGCAAUCUAUUUUCAGAGCCCCUAUCGAAAAAUAGGCUUACGACCUCGAUGUUGGAUCAGGGUAUCCUAGUGGUGCAGAAGCUACUAAAGGUUUGUUUGUUCAACAAUUAAAACCCUACGUGAUCUGAGUUUCCAGACCGGAAG
rnacentral:rRNA from 1 species